rnacentral:misc_RNA from 1 species
UCCGGUUUGUCACCGGCAGUCUCGCAUGAGUCCCCAACUAAAUGCUGGCAACAUGCGACGGGGGUUGCGCUCGUUGCGGGACUUAACCCAACAUCUCACGACACGAGCUGACGACAGCCUUGCACCACCUGUGAGAGUGCCCCGAAGGGAGACCGUGUUUCCACGGCUGUCACUCACAUGUCAAGCCCUGGUAAGGUUCUUCGCGUUGCGACGAAUUAAACCACACGCUCCGCUGCUUGUGCGGGCCCCCGUCAAUUCCUUUGAGUUUUAGCCUUGCGGCCGUACUCCCCAGGCGGAACACUUAAUGCGUUAGCUACGGCACAGCCGGGGUCGAUACCGACUACGCCUAGUGUUCAUCGUUUACGGCGUGGACUAC